rnacentral:tRNA from 1 species
AUUAUAUUAGUUUAACUAAAAUAUUAUUUUGUGAUAAUAAUGAUCUUAUUGAUAUAAUA